AUUGAACGCUGGCGGCAGGCUUAACACAUGCAAGUCGAGCGGGGUGAUGGUGCUUGCACUAUCACUUAGCGGCGGACGGGUGAGUAAUGCUUAGGAAUCUGCCUAUUAGUGGGGGACAACAUCUCGAAAGGGAUGCUAAUACCGCAUACGUCCUACGGGAGAAAGCGGGGGAUCACUUGUGACCUUGCGCUAAUAGAUGAGCCUAAGUCGGAUUAGCUAGUUGGUGGGGUAAAGGCCUACCAAGGCGACGAUCUGUAGCGGGUCUGAGAGGAUGAGCCGCCACACUGGGACUGAGCCACGGCCCAGACUCCUACGGGAGUCAGCAGUGGGGAAUAUUGGACAAUGGGGGGAACCCUGAUCCAGCCAUGCCGCGUGUGUGAAGAAGGCCUUAUGGUUGUAAAGCACUUUAAGCGAGGAGGAGGCUCUUUUGGUUAAUACCCAAGAUGAGUGGACGUUACUCGCAGAAUAAGCACCGGCUAACUCUGUGCCAGCCGCCGCCGCGG
rnacentral:rRNA from 1 species